rnacentral:rRNA from 1 species
UGACGGUACCUGACUAAGAAGCCCCGGCUAACUACGUGCCAGCAGCCGCGGUAAUACGUAGGGGGCAAGCGUUAUCCGGAUUUACUGGGUGUAAAGGGAGCGUAGACGGUCUUGCAAGUCUGAUGUGAAAGGCAGGGGCUUAACUCCUGGACUGCAUUGGAAACUGUAGGACUAGAGUGUCGGAGAGGUAAGCGGAAUUCCUAGUGUAGCGGUGAAAUGCGUAGAUAUUAGGAGGAACACCAGUGGCGAAGGCGGCUUACUGGACGAUAACUGACGUUGAGGCUCGAAAGCGUGGGGAGCAAACAGGAUUAGAUACCCUG